rnacentral:rRNA from 1 species
UACGUAGGGGGCAAGCGUUGUCCGGAUUUAUUGGGCGUAAAGCGCUCGCAGGUGGUUCGUUGCGUCGUGCGUGAAAGACCCCGGCUCAACUGGGGAGGGUCGUGCGAUACGGGCGAACUGGAGGCCAGUAGGGGGAUGCGGAAUUCCGGGUGUAGUGGUGGAAUGCGUAGAGAUCCGGAGGAACACCAGCGGCGAAGGCGGCAUCCUGGACCGGCAUUGAUGCUGAGGAGCGAAAGCUAGGGGAGCGAACGGG